GGGAAUGGAUGGGUCCCUGGUGGGCCCCGCGGGCUUCAAACCCGUUGUUCCGUGCUGAACAGUGCGGAAGGUGGGUUCGAUUCCCACACAUUCCCG
rnacentral:tRNA from 1 species